AGGGCUUGUGUCACCAUGGGAAGCAGUGCUGGGAUGGGGAAAUCUGAAGUGUAAUGGAAAAAUUGUUGGAGGCUAAUUGUGGACAAGUCUGAGAAAUGAAAACUCCAGGGGGAGCAAGCUUGCAUCUGGCUUGUCCCUUUGGAGACCUUUCAUAAAAGAUGAAUCUCUUGACUGGAUUUCUGGCAUGGCCUUCUACUGGAGCCUCAGUGCUAUUCUUUUGAUUCUGAUGGUGACCUCUUCAACAGGGACAGUUUACAUCCAUCCAGUGGAUGAGUUCUCUUCACUUAUGGGAACAGUCAAGCCUCUAGCAUGUCACCAAAAUGCUUACCUGUGGGUCUGGGAUUUCUUUGCAAAAAGCAUCUGACUAUUCA